AGUCCUCUCCACCCCAAGGUAGGCAGCUUCCCGCUCCUCGUCUUGGGACCUAAACCCAGGAAGUCAAAUGUCCUUUUCUAGCAGGUCGCCUGGUUAGAGGCCGUGGACGAAGCGGUCCAGGCACAGCCAGCUGCAGGGCGCGGCCUCGGCGGCGCUGCUCGUGGCCCUGGUCAGUGAGCGCACUCACUCCUGGACUAAGCUCUAUGCAACUCAUUUUCAUCUAGCAUUACCUCUCCAAAACCUGAAUCUCCACAAGAAAGCCACACAGCAAUUAACCAGUGUUGCAAGAACUGCUUCUGUAAUAAAGGUGGGAAGACAAAUUGAUGCAACCCUCUUGAAAAGCAAUCUGGCAAUAUGAACCAAGAGCCAUGAAAAGGCUUAUGCUAUUAUAAUUAAAUGGCUGUAAUGUUGGCUGUAAAUAUGAAAUUUUCUUUCACACACCAAUGUUUUCAAGAAUGGCAUAUUCACAUGCAGUAUGUGAUGAAAGAAGCAGUAAAGGAUGCUAACAAAGCUAUUUCUUUGGACAAUCUGAACCUGGUAGGUUUGAUACAUUUUAAUUGCAAAAUAAAUGACAAUUAAUGG
rnacentral:lncRNA from 1 species